GACGAACGCUGGCGGCGUGCUUAACACAUGCAAGUCGAACGGAGAACUUUCUUCGGAAUGUUCUUAGUGGCGAACGGGUGAGUAACGCGUAGGCAACCUGCCCUCUGGUUGGGGACAACAUUCCGAAAGGGAUGCUAAUACCGAAUGAGAUCCUCUUUCCGCAUGGAGAGAGGAUGAAAGAUGGCCUCUACUUGUAAGCUAUCGCCAGAAGAUGGGCCUGCGUCUGAUUAGCUAGUAGGUGAGGUAACGGCUCACCUAGGCGAUGAUCAGUAGCCGGUCUGAGAGGAUGAACGGCCACAUUGGGACUGAGACACGGCCCAA
rnacentral:rRNA from 1 species